GGUGUAGAAAUGGUUGAGGAAAGGGCUUGCCCUACUGAAACUGAAGGAGAAGAGCAAAAACUAGAAGAUGAAGGUGGGCACAGGUCUUUCUUUUCUUUGAUUGGAAUUCUAUUUUCUAGCAAGUAAGGUCUCGUGAAUCUGUCUUUGAUACACUUGAGAUGGCUCUCUAUCCAGAUGUCUAAUGAUGGAGCACAUCCUACAAAUCACCCUUCUUCCUCAGUUCUGCAAUGAUUCAAAGACCGGAA
rnacentral:lncRNA from 1 species